CAGUGGGGAAUCUUGCGCAAUGGGCGAAAGCCUGACGCAGCGACGCCGCGUUGAGGGAUGAAAGGCCCUCGGGUUGUAAACCUCUUUCAGCGGGGACGAAGCGAAAGUGACGGUACCCGCAGAAGAAGCCCCGGCCAACUACGUGCCAGCAGCCGCGGUAAUACGUAGGGGGCAAGCGUUGUCCGGAUUUAUUGGGCGUAAAGAACUCGUAGGCGGCUGGGCAAGUCGGACGUAAAAUUCCAUGGCUUAACCGUGGAAAGCCGUUCGAUACUGCUCGGCUAGAGGCCGGUAGGGGGGCGUGGAAUUCCCGGUGUAGCGGUGAAAUGCGCAGAUAUCGGGAGGAACACCGGUGGCGAAGGCGGCGCCCUGGGCCGGACCUGACGCUGAGGAGCGAAAGCUGGGGCAGCAAACAGGAUUAGAUACCCUGGUAGUCCCAGCCGUAAACGAUGGGUGCUAGGUGUGGGGAGCUAUCGACGCUUUCCGUGCCGCAGCUAACGCAUUAAGCACCCCGCCUGGGGAGUACGGCCGCAAGGCUAAAACUCAAAUGAAUUGACGGGGACCCAUGGCAAGCUUAUCGAUACCGUCGACCUCGA
rnacentral:rRNA from 1 species